CAGCUUUGACAAACCAGACCAGAUGGCUGCACUGUUUAAAAGAUUAUCAUCUGUUGACAGUGUCUUGAAGAGGAUGACAAUAAUUGGUGUAAUUUUAUCCUUCCGAUCAUUGGCACAAGAAGCACUUAGAGAUGUAAGAAACCAUUACAAGUAUAUACUCGGUCUUAUCCUACCACAUUCCUUUUCUUGUAAGUUCAAUUGAAGAUUUUAAGGAUCACAUUCCAAGGGAAACUGAUAUGAAGGUUGCAAUGAAUGUGUAUGAGUUAUCAUCAGCUGCCGGAUUACCUUGUGAGAUUGAUCCUGCAU
rnacentral:lncRNA from 1 species